rnacentral:rRNA from 1 species
AUUGAACGCUGGCGGCAUGCCUUACACAUGCAAGUCAAACGGCAGCACGGGAGCAAUCCUGGUGGCGAGUGGCGAACGGGUGAGUAAUAUAUCGAAACGUGCCCAGUCGGGGGGGAUAACGUAAAGAAAUUUACCCUAAUACCGCAUACAAUCUAAGGAUGAAAGCGGGGGACCGUAAGGCCUCGCGCGAUUGGAGCGGCUGAUAUCAAAUUAGGUUGUUGGUGAGGUAAAAGCUCACCAAGCCAACAAUCUGUAGCUGGUUUGAGAGAACAACCACCCACACUGGGACUGAAACACGGCCCAAACUCCUACGGGAGGCAGCAGUGGGGAAUUUUGGACAAUGGGCAAAAGCCUGAUCCAGCCAUGCCGCGUGCAGGAAGAAUGCCCUAUGGGUAGUAAACUGCUUUUAUACGGAAAAAAAAAGGGGCACGUGUGCCCCACUGACGGUACCGUAAAAAUAAGGACCGGCUAACUCCGUG